AACAAACGCUGGCGGCGUGCCUAACACAUGCAAGUCGCACGAGAAAGGGUCAUUCGGGGCCUGAGUAAAGUGGCGCACGGGUGAGUAACGCGUGGAUAAUCUGCCCUUCAGUGGGGACUAAGUCGUCGAAAGUUGGGCUAAUACCGAAUAAUGCUGUGAGACCUAGGUUGAUCAGCGAAAGAGAGUCUCUGCUUGCAAGCCCUAGUUGAAGGAUGAAUCCGCGUACCAUUAGCUAGUUGGUAGUGUAAUGGCCUACCAAGGCGACGAUGGUUAGGUGGUCUGAGAGGAUGAUCAGCCACACUGGAAGUGAGACACGGUCCAGACUCGUACGGGGGGCAGCAGUGAGGAAUCUUGCGCAAUGGGGGCAACCCUGACGCAGCAACGCCUCGUGAGUGAGGAAGGUCUUCGGAUCGUAAAGCUCUGUCGGAUGGAAAGAACCGCAUAGGGGUAAACAGCCCCUGUGUCUGACGGUACCAUCAAAGGAAGCACCGGCUAACUCCGUGCCAGCCGCCGCAGUAACAC
rnacentral:rRNA from 1 species